rnacentral:rRNA from 5 species
CGUUCCCAUGCCGAACACGGAAGUUAAGCUCUUCAGCGCCGAUGGUAGUCGGGGGUUUCCCCCUGUGAGAGUAGGACAUCGCCAGGC